rnacentral:tRNA from 1 species
AAAAUCCGUCGACUUUAUAAAUUGUGAGGGUUCAAGUCAAGUCCCUCUAUCCCCA